rnacentral:rRNA from 1 species
UACGUAGGGCGCAAGCGUUGUCCGGAAUUAUUGGGCGUAAAGAGCUCGUAGGUGGCUUGUCACGUCGGGUGUGAAAGCUUGGGGCUUAACUCCAGGUCUGCAUUCGAUACGGGCUGGCUAGAGGUAGGUAGGGGAGAACGGAAUUCCUGGUGUAGCGGUGAAAUGCGCAGAUAUCAGGAGGAACACCAGUGGCGAAGGCGGUUCUCUGGGCCUUACCUGACGCUGAGGAGCGAAAGCGUGGGGAGCAAACAGG